rnacentral:rRNA from 2 species
UACGUAGGGUGCAAGCGUUAAUCGGAAUUACUGGGCGUAAAGCGUGCGCAGGCGGUUAUGUAAGACAGAUGUGAAAUGCCCGGGCUUAACCUGGGAACUGCAUUUGUGACUGCAUGGCUAGAGUUUGGCAGAGGGGGGUAGAAUUCCACGUGUAGCAGUGAAAUGCGUAGAUAUGUGGAGGAACACCGAUGGCGAAGGCAGCCCCCUGGGUCAAGACUGACGCUCAUGCACGAAAGCGUGGGGAGCAAACAGG